rnacentral:rRNA from 1 species
GACGAACCGUGCGAACGUUGUUCGGAUUCACUGGGCUUAAAGGGCGCGUAGGCGGGCGGUCAAGUCAGGGGUGAAAUCUUUCGGCUCAACCGGAAAAGUGCCUUUGAUACUGGCCGUCUCGAGGGAGGUAGGGGCAUGCGGAACUUCCGGUGGAGCGGUGAAAUGCGUAGAUAUCGGAAGGAACGCCGGUGGGCGAAAGCGGCGUGCUGGACCGUCUUCUGACGCUGAGGCGCGGAAAGCCAGGGGAGGCAAACGGG